rnacentral:rRNA from 1 species
GACGAACGCUGGCGGCGUGCUUAACACAUGCAAGUCGAACGAUGAAGCCGGAGCUUGCUCCGGUGGAUUAGUGGCGAACGGGUGAGUAACACGUGAGCAAUCUGCCCUUGACUCUGGGAUAACUGCGGGAAACUGUAGCUAAUACCGGAUACGACACCUUGGGGCAUCCCAGGGUGUGGAAAGAAUUUCGGUCAAGGAUGAGCUCGCGGCCUAUCAGCUAGGUGGUGAGGUAAUGGCUCACCAAGGCGACGACGGGUAGCCGGCCUGAGGGGGUGACCGGCAACACUGGAACUGAGACACGGGCCAGACUCCUACGGGAGGCAGCAGUGGGGAAUAUUGCACAAUGGGCGAAAGCCUGAUGCAGCAACGCCGCGUGAGGGAUGAAGGCCUUCGGGUUGUAAACCUCUUUUAGCAGGGAAGAAGCGAAAGUGACGGUACCUGCAGAAAAAGCACCGGCUAACUACGUGCCAGCAGCCGCGGUAA